UAACAUCAGGAAGCUGGCAGUUGAAUGGGGCUGUACUGAGGGAGCCUCUAGCCGUUCUCUGGAUGGGGGGAAGAAUUGGAAAUUAGGUAGAGAGUGUAUAGGAGAAGGCGCAGGGGAAAAGUAGCAAGGUUUAAGAUGGUGCAAAGUUUGGCUGUUGAUUAGAGGGUCCUUGAGCUAGAACCCAAAAUAGAAGUGGCACUGAUUUGGGCAAUGCCUGGAGGGCCAAGACACCCUGAGUCACAGAGAAAGAGAACACAAAAGGCAGCAGUAUGUGUAGUGAGCAAUAGAAGGGACAUCAGACCUGGAAAGAGAAAAUUCUCAGGUGUGGUGGCCUGCAUACAGAAUAGAGACUGUUCUGACUGUGUCUGGAGAUGUUGCGAUAAUCUAACAUGCCUACAAACUUACCUUAUCUCAACUGUAAAAAAUCACAUCACAUAGAUGAUCAAGAAGUACUGUGCAGCCACAAACUGUCAAGUGUAUGAGCAGUGGAGCAACAAAAGCCACCUGCUUUCCGAAUAAUAACUUUGACCAAACUACCAGAAUAAUGUUGCUACUGCAGGCCUUAUGUCAUCUUGUUAUAAUCAUUUUUUCAUGUGACAUUUUACUGGGGCUGUCUUGUUGCAGCAAAAUCACAUCACAUUAGAUCUGGUUAUGCACAUCAUGGAGCUUGAUAUUUGGGCUUGGAUAUGCCAUUUCUGUUAUUAUUCAGUGCAAGAGUCUGGCUUUAUGGUUUCUAACUCCAGGCUCCUUACAUGGAAUAUUGGACUAAAAUGUCCAUGUAUGAAAGUCCAAGUUAAAAUUCAUGACAGAAGAUGUGUGACCAGAUGAGAUGUCACCAUAAUCAGACAUCACAGAUUGAAUUCAAUGUCCUGAAUGAAUCUUCCAUACAAGGAUUAGGUAGUACCACACUACAUGAAAAAUAAAAAAUAUAUGCAGGCCAAAAGACACUAGUGACUCUUUGACCAGGAUUGGCAUAAUCUAGUGAAUGUUGUAAAUAAACAGAGCAAGCCACCCAAAAGUCUGUCUCUCAACUUCAGCACAGAACAUGCUGCAGUAAUUGAAGAGCAAAUAAUAAUCCAAUAUUAAUAACCCAAAACUUCACAUCACAAGUGGGUGAG